rnacentral:rRNA from 1 species
CAUCUCACGACACGAGCUGACGACAGCCAUGCACCACCUGUCUCUGCGCUCCCGAAGGCACUCCCUCGUUUCCAAGGGAUUCGCAGGAUGUCAAACCCUGGUAAGGUUCUUCGCGUUGCAUCGAAUUAAACCACAUACUCCACCGCUUGUGCGGGCCCCCGUCAAUUCCUUUGAGUUUCACACUUGCGUGCGUACUCCCCAGGCGGAACACUUAACGCGUUGGCUACGACACCGAGGGGGUCGAUUCCCCCGACACCUAGUGUUCAUCGUUUACGGCCAGGACUACAGGGGUAUCUAAUCCCUUUCGCUCCCCUGGCUUUCGUCCAUGAGCGUCAGUUAUGGCCCAGCAGAGCGCCUUCGCCACUGGUGUUCUUCCCGAUAUCUACGCAUUUCACCGCUACACCGGGAAUUCCCUCUGCCCCUACCACACUCUAGCCUUGCAGUUUCCAUCGCUUAAAUGGAGUUAAGCUCCACGCUUUGACGACAGACUUACAAGGCCGCCUGCGGACGCUUUACGCCCAAUAAUUCCGGAUAACGCUUGCCACUCCCGUAUUACCGCGGCUGCUGGCACGGAAUUAGCCGUGGCUUAUUCAUCAAGUACCGUCAGAUCUUCUUCCUUGAUAAAAGAGGUUUACAGCCCAGAGGCCUUCAUCCCUCACGCGGCGUUGCUCCGUCAGGCUUUCGCCCAUUGCGGAAAAUUCCCCA